rnacentral:rRNA from 1 species
UCGCCUGUUUAACAAAAACAUCUUUUCUUGUUAGUUUUUGAAGUAUGGCCUGCCCACUGACGUUUAUUUAGGUUGAAGGGCCGCGGUAUUUUGACCGUGCAAAGGUAGCAUAAUCAUUAGUUCUUUAAUUGUGAUCUGGUAUGAAUGGCUUGACGAGAUAUGAGCUGUCUUAAGAGUAUUAUUUUAUUGAAUUUAGUUUUUGAGUUAAAAUUCUUAGAUGUUUUUAUGGGACGAGAAGACCCUAUAGAGUUUGACACCUAACUCUUCUUUUUUGUUUUGUUUGAGUUAUUUUUAUGAGUUGAUUAGGUGUUUUGUUGGGGUGAUGAGAGGAAAUAAAUUAACUCCUCUUUGGCUUUAUAUAUUUAUUUAUAUUUGUUUUGAUCCAUUUAUUUUGAUUAUAAGAUUAAAUUACCUUAGGGAUAACAGCGUUAUCUUCCUUGAGAGUUCUUAUUGGCGGGAAGGUUUGCGACCUCGAUGUUGGAUUAAGGUGAAUUUUCGGUGCAGGAGCUGAAAGUGAUUGGGUCUGUUCGACCUUUAAAAUCUUACGUGAUCUGAGUUCAGAACCGGA